UUUUUUUUUUUUUUUUUUCUGAGACGAAGUCUCGCUCUGUCGCCCAGGCUGGAGUGCAGUGGCCGGAUCUCAGCUCACUGCAAGCUCCGCCUCCCGGGUUUACGUCAUUCUCCUGCCUCAGCCUCCCGAGUAGCUGGGAUUACAGGCCCCGCCACCUCGCCCGGCUAGUUUUUUGUAUUUUUUAGUAGAGACGGGGUUUCACUGUGUUAGCCAGGAUGGUCUCGAUCUCCUGACCUCAUGAUCUGCCCAUCUCGGCCUCCCAAAGUGCUGGGAUUACAGGCUUGAGCCACCGCGCCCAGCCGACAAUACCUUCUUAUGGCUACCUCCGGAAGGACUUGCCCGAGGCUGUUUUACAGUUAACGUUUGUUUUAAUAAGUAGGAGUAUUCACUAAAAUAACAGUUAAAAGUAUAGUGUAGUAAAUACAUAAGUCAGUAACACAGUCCUUUAUUAUCAACUAUUGUGUACUGUAUGGAACUGUCUGUGCUAGACUUUGAUUAGACUGUUAGCGCAGUGGGUUUGUUUAUAACAGCACCACACACACGUAAGUAAUGUGUGCCACUGCACCAUUACGACGGCAAGAAGAUAGCGAGGUCUCGGUUCCAUGUUAGUUUUAUAGGACUACCAUCGUACAUGUGCUCUGUCGCUGAUCAGACCCUUGUUCUUUUUUUGUUUGUUUGUUUGUUUGUUUGUUUGAGACAGAGUCUCACUCUGUCGCCCAGGCUGGAGUGCAGUGGUGCGAUCUUGGCUCACUGCAAGCUCCGCCUCCCGGGUUCACGCCAUUCUCCUGCCUCAGCCUCCCGAGUAGCUGGGACUACAGGCGCCACGCCCACCACCACACCUGGCUAAUUUUUGUAUUUUUAGUAGAGACAGGGUUUCACUGAGUUAGCCAGGAUGGUCUCCAUCUCCUGACCUUGUGAUCCACCCGCCUCGGCCUCCCAAAGUGCUGGGAUUACAGGUGUGACAGACCCUUGUUAUGCAGUGCCUAACUGUACGAUCCACCCCACGUGGUCCUUGGGAGAUGGCAGGAGGUGGCCUGUGUAAGGCACAGAGCUGCACACUGCAGCACUCAUAAGCAUUAGGCUUCCUCACCACCAUUACGUGCCAGGUAGUGGCUGACCCUGCCAGACCAGGGACCUCCCAGCUCAGUGCUGCCUCCUCUAUACGGAGUCUUGUCCCAAGGAGGCAGUGCUCCCCAAAUGAAGGAAUGCUGGAAAGGAGUGGAUACCCUUCCCACAUUAUCCCUUCGAAGGGCCUCCUGGCUUCCGCUUUAUGGUAUCCUCAUGCAGGCUGGGUUAUUAUGGCUCACACAGGACUGGUCACCACCCCAGCUGCCAUAAAGGAAAGGGUCGAGCUUGAAAAUGCAGUCUGCCUCACCCCACUUCCAGAUAGAUGGGGGCCAAGCGCUUUCAGAUAUACAGCAAUCUGGGUGUCCACAGCUCUGUCUCCACACUCCUUUCCCCUGAGGCCAAAGUCUACCCAGGGCCAGACCCGCUAAGGAGUGGCCGGCUGCGUGGGCCAACCCUCUGGAACCUCGCAGCCCCCACAGGCGAGGAGCGUGAGUGCUCAUUACGGAGCUU
ensembl:lncRNA